rnacentral:rRNA from 1 species
AGCAGCCGCGGUAAUUCCAGCUCCAAUAGCGUAUAUUAAAGUUGUUGCAGUUAAAAAGCUCGUAGUUGAAUUUCGGGGUCAGUAGGUUGGUCAUGCCACUGGUAUGUACUGGUCUCACUGAUUCCUCCUUCCUGAUGAACUGUAAUGCCAUUAAUUUGGUGUUGCAGGGAAUCUGGACUGUUACUUUGAAAAAUUAGAGUGUUUAAAGCAGGCUAACGCCUGAAUACGUUAGCAUGGAAUAAUGAAAUAGGACGUUCGAUCCUAUUUUGUUGGUUUCUAGGAUUGACGUAAUGAUUAAUAGGGAUAGUUGGGGGCAUUAGUAUUCAAUUGUCAGAGGUGAAAUUCUUGGAUUUAUUGAAGACUAACUACUGCGAAAGCAUUUGCCAAGGAUGUUUUCAUUAAUCAAGAACGAAGUUAGGGGAUCGAAGACGAUCAGAUACCAUCGUAGUCUUAACCAUAAACUAUGCCGAC